UCCUGGCCCUAAACGAUGUCCACUAGGUCGAAGGUUCUCUGACGGAGCUUCGGCCGAAACAAAAGCGUUAAGUGCCCCGCCUGGGGAGUACGGCCGCAAGGUUGAAACUCAAAGGAAUUGACGGGGGCCCGCACAAGCGGUGGAGCAUGUGGUUUAAUUCGAUGCAACGCGAAGAACCUUACCGGGGCUUGACAUGCUAGAAGUAGGAACCCGAAAGGGGG
rnacentral:rRNA from 1 species